AGCGAACGCUGGCGGCAGGCCUAACACAUGCAAGUCGAACGAACUCUUCGGAGUUAGUGGCGGACGGGGGAGUAACACGUGGGAACGUGCCUUUUGGUUAGGAAUAACUCAGGGAAACUUGUGCUAAUACCGAAUGUGCCCUUCGGGGGAAAGAUUUAUCGCCAUUAGAGCGGCCCGCGUCUGAUUAGCUAGUUGGUGAGGUAACGGCUCACCAAGGCGACGAUCAGUAGCUGGUCUGUGAGGAUGACCAGCCACACUGGGAAUGAGACACGGACCAGACCCCUACGGGAGGGAGCAGUGGGGAAUCUUGCGGAAUGGGCGAAAGUCUGACGCCGCCAUGCCGCGUGAAUGAGGAAGGUCUUAGGAUUGUAAAAUUCUUUCACCGGGGACGAUAAUGACGGUAACCGGAGAAGAAGCCCCGGCUAACUUCGUG
rnacentral:rRNA from 1 species